rnacentral:rRNA from 1 species
UGGGGAAUAUUGCACAAUGGAGGGAACUCUGAUGCAGCGACGCCGCGUGAACGAAGAAGGCUUUCGAGUCGUAAAGUUCUUUUAUAUGGGAAGAUAAUGACGGUACCAUAAGAAAAAGCCCCGGCUAACUACGUGCCAGCAGCCGCGGUAAUACGUAGGGGGCUAGUGUUGUCCGGAAUCACUGGGCGUAAGGGUUCGCAGGCGGAAAUGCAAGUCAGGUGUAAAAGGCAGUAGCUUAACUACUGUAAGCAUUUGAAACUGCAUAUCUUUAGAAGAGUAGAGGUAAGUAGAAUUUUUAGUGUAGCGGUGAAAUGCGUAGAUAUUAAAAAGAAUACCGGUGGCGAAGGCGACUUACUGGGCUCAUUCUGACGCUGAGGAACGAAAGCGUGGGUAGCAAACAGG